UACGUAGGGGGCAAGCGUUGUUCGGAAUUACUGGGCGUAAAGGGCGCGUAGGCGGCACGGUAAGUCGGGAGUGAAAGCCCGGGGCUCAACCCCGGAACGUCUCACGAAACUGCCGAGCUAGAGUGCGGAAGGGGCAACUGGAAUUCCCAGUGUAGCGGUGAAAUGCGUAGAUAUUGGGAAGAACACCUGAGGCGAAGGCGGGUUGCUGGGCCGACACU
rnacentral:rRNA from 1 species